rnacentral:snRNA from 1 species
CUUUUACUAAAGAUUUCCGUGGAGAGGAACAAUUAUGAGUUGUUAACCAAUUUUUUGAGGCCUCACUCCGGUGAGGCU